rnacentral:rRNA from 1 species
AUGUGCAAGGGAAUCACUGAUACUAUAUCGCAUUAUUGGUGGGGAGAUGGACAGGACCAACACAAACUACACUGGUUUGCUUGGUGGAAGAUAUGUGUUGCAAAGGUAUGGGGAGGAAUGGGCUUUCGUGACAUUCAUAGCUUUAAUCUUGCAAUGUUGUCUAAACAGUGUUUGAGGCUCAUUGAUAAUUAUGACUCUCUUUGUGCCAAAGUUCUUAGAGCAAAAUACUACCCCUCUGGCGACCUGCUAAAUUGUGAACUAAAGAAGGGCUCAUCCUUUGUGUGGCAAAGUAUUUGGUCAGGGCUCCAAACUUUUGAAAAGGGAUGCAUUUGGAGAGUUGACAAUGGAUUGAAAAUCAAUAUUUGGGAGGAUUGUUGGAUCCCAAAUAGUAUGUCCAGGAAAAUUUUCAUAGUGCAGGGUAACUGUGUUCUCACUACCGUUAAUGAGCUUAUAGACCCAGCUGCGGGUGAAUGGGACGAAGCUUUGAUUCGAGACAAUUUCUGGCAUAUUAAUGCGGAGAGGAUUUUGCAGAUUCCAAUAUAUCAGCAUUAUACAUAG